rnacentral:rRNA from 1 species
GAUGAACGCUGGCGGCGUGCUUAACACAUGCAAGUCGAACGGAAAGGCCCAAGCUUGCUUAGGUACUCGAGUGGCGAACGGGUGAGUAACACGUGGGUGAUCUGCCCUGCACUUCGGGAUAAGCCUGGGAAACUGGGUCUAAUACCGGAUAGGACGAUGGUUUGGAUGCCAUUGUGGAAAGUUUUUUCGGUGUGGGAUGAGCUCGCGGCCUAUCAGCUUGUUGGUGGGGUAAUGGCCUACCAAGGCGUCGACGGGUAGCCGGCCUGAGAGGGUGUACGGCCACAUUGGGACUGAGAUGCGGCCCAGACUCCUACGGGGGGCAGCAGUGGGGAAUAUUGGACAAUGGGCGAAAGCCUGAUGCAGCGACGCCGCGUGGGGGAUGACGGCCUUCGGGUUGUAAACUCCUUUCGCUAGGGACGAAGCGUUUUUGUGACGGUACCUGGAGAAGAAGCACCGGCUAACUACGUG